rnacentral:rRNA from 1 species
UACGAAGGGGCUAGGCGUUGCUCGGAAUCACUGGGCGUAAAGCGCACGUAGGCGGAUCGUUAAGUCGGAGGUGAAAUCCUGGAGCUCAACUCCAGAACUGCCUUCGAUACUGGCGAUCUUGGAGUCCGGGAGAGGUGGAGUGGAACUCCGAGUGUAGAGGUGAAAUUCGUAGAUAUUCGGAAGAACACCAGUGGCGAAGGCGGCUCACUGGCC